ACAAAACUUAAUUUAGAUAGGAACAAUCUGGAGCUUGAAGAAAACUGGCAUUAUGAGCUACUUCUGAGUAAAAAGGCAGAGAGAAAAUUUCUGUAGAACUUCAAGUUUGUGUGUUAUCCAGAAAUUCUUUUCUUUGUUUCUUAUUUUAACGUGAAUGGCGUAUUUAUGCUUUUAAUGCUAUAUGAAAUAGCCUUAUAUCAAUUUAGUUAAAACUCAUAACCUAAUGAUGAAUAUAAAUACUCAGCCAUUUGGGAAAGAAAUCAUACAUCUUAUCCAAUGCCAUUAAAGACAUCCUAAAAUUUAACUUCUUUGCCCUGUUUCACUCCUAUGCUGCAAUAUCUUAGUGAAACUGGCAUUUGGAGUGCUAUCAGCUCUGUGAUCAACUAAAUUAUAUUUUGGGUCGUCCUGUGUGGGGCAAAGAGUUGGUCUUGAUGUCCGUUAUGGAUCCCUUCCAACUAUGGAUAUGAUUCUAUGACUCCAUGUUUUCUCGGAAUAGCAGCUCUUAGACUGCUAUAAAUAAAAAUUUCAAUGUAAAAAUAAUUUUUAAAAGGAAAGGAGAAUUCAGCUGCCCUACUCAAUCAAUGCACAGAAUGCAAAGAUGACAGUUUAAUGACUGAAGUGUGCCCAAGGAUACUCUGCAAGAAAUUUUACAGCCAUAUGGGUGGCUGUAAUGAUGUUCUGCAGCUGGCUUGUGUCUGGAUGUACCAGGAGUGGCUUUACAUUUGUCUGUGCAAUUAGGACUAUAAAAUAAAAAUUACCUUUGGCAGCCAUGAAGCACCAACAAGACUUGAACAAUUAUUUAAAUCCCCUCUUGGUAAAAACUCUAAAAGCCAAAGUGACUAGUUGAGGCUUUGGGUGCUCAGGCAAUUUUCAAAAGCAUCAUGUUUGUUGCAGAGCACCAUAGGGAAAGGAAAAGUAAAAGAAAAAAUAGAAUGUUCUGUUGGAGAAUAACUGUGUGAGAAUGUAAGUUCAGUGGAGGCUACUGAUGUGCAGCUGACCCUCCAAGGCUAAUCUCAAGAGUCAGGCUCAAGGGCUGGUUAUGACAUGAGUAUGAUUGCAGCCUCUAGCAUAUGUGGAGCCUAAAAUAAGUCUAACCACUUUGCAUUUUUUGUGGCUUAAGAACAUUGAAAGAACUAGCCUUAUGCACAAAGGCUCAGCUGGUGCACAGUAACCCACCAAGAAAGUGCAAUGAUCUGAUUUGAGCCCAAGCAGGAGCUGCUAAAGGCUUAACUGUGUGAUCCCUGAAGCUCCAGUCCCCUCAGGCUCUUUUCCUUCUCGGCUGCCUUGCAGGUGUUUUCCUGCUCAGGAGUCCCAGGGAAUUCCCCUCAGACACAGCAUGUUGAAUUUCUGCUUCUUUGCCAGUCAGUUCCACACUGAGCUUAACACAUGUCACACACACGCCCCUGGGUGAAUGUGUCAGACUGGCUUCCAGUGGGUACCAGACCAGCACAAGGGGGAGAGCUGAGGAAGCAGUGAAAAGAAGAGAAAAAGAAAGAAAAACUCUUCACAAGUAGUGGUGAGCCAUCAAACUAAUGAGAAGCUUGCUGCUGCAGUCACUGUCUGAAGUGCCUCGUGAAGGACCUGAGGAUGCCUGUCACAGCAGCACCCAAAUUAUGUGGAGUUCGGGCCAUUUCAUGUCGCUGGCCUAGGAACACCAGCUGCCCCAUCCCACCUCAAGGAAGCUGUCAACCGCUUUGAGUGACACUCUCAGUGCUGGCAUUUGGGAGCACGGAAUGGAAACCUCAUGUCAUCUUCCAUAAAUAUCUUCCCCACUGUUACAAGACUUUGAUCAUAAUCUGUCACUUUGCAUCAUUUUGAAUGCUCAUAUGCAUAAUGAGGGCAAUAAAAUACUCUUAGUCCUCUGUCAGUUUGGGCAGAUUUGCCAAAGAUUAAAUCCAUUAUUAAAUUAACUUCUGCUGCAAACUCUGUUGGCCUUUUAAUGUAAAGUUAAAAUAUUAGCUUUGCUUUUAUUUGGCUUCAGUACCUUUAGAACUAAAAUAGAUUUAAGAAGUCAAAGACACUUUGAUUUAUUAAUGACCUCCCUCAGAAGAGCUGAGUGUGUGCUGUAAACUAGCCCUGCAAGCUACUGCUCUGAACAUCUCAUGUAUUAUUAUCAACCGUAAUUAACCUCUGGGAGGAGAAGUCGGGACUUUCAGUUAUCUGGGACUUCACGAAGCACUUCCACCAUGGCUCCUGCACACAUCAGGAUGCUUUCUGUAGGCCCCGCUAUCUCCCAUUUGGGUGAGAUAUCUCCCCGCUAUAUCCCCUUUGGCUCAGGGCCAAAGCAUAUGCAACGCUCUCAUCUUUAGGUGAAGCGCUUACAGGCGAAAGGCCUGAAGCAGCCAGCAGAGAUGUUAUGAGGAAACAGAGGAAGGCAACUGAUUAAGAGCUCCCUGAUCCUGGAUGGGCUCUGAACACUGUGCUGUACUGUGUGUUCCUGCAAGACUGAAGAGCCACAAGGAACUGGCUGUGUCAGAGGACAUCCUAAAACCAGAGCCCAUGGAAUGAAUGCUCAAGGGAAAGAAGAGAACUAAGUGGGAAUGUAGGACCAGUUGAGUUGGACUGGGCCUGAGGAGUGACAGGUGCAGGAAGUGGGAGGUAGGCCCUGGGUCCUGCUGCUCUCCUCUCACUGAGAAGAAGGAUUAAAGCACUCCAUAUCACAGCCCCAGCCUCUCCCCUGCCUUUGAUGAGCAUCACUGAGAGAUACAGAUGUAUCUGCAGUCCCCAUGCAGCUGGACAGGUUCUCAUCCCUUCUUUGGAAAUCUCUGGGAGAGAGAAAACCAGGGCUUACCAUUGCUUCACCACAGGCUGUUGGAGGCCAUGCUCUAACUUCUGGUAGAGGUCCACUCAAAAAGCUGCCCCGUGAACAGGCUUCCCAAAGCCAUGUGUCACACACAUCCACUGAAGUGACCCCUGUUCCUUUCCACACUUAACUUCCUGCCAUCUUUCCCACCCCUCCAUCAAGGAUGCCUCCAGCUCCACCACCCCACCUGAAGCUUCCCUCUCCUGCCACUGCCCAGCUGCAAAACCCCACUGCCGCCUGCCCAGAUGGCAAGUCCUUGUGCUCCUGCUUGCUGCUGCUCAGGAGACUAAAAUAAAAUAAAAUAGAUAAUAAAAUAAAGAAAAAUAAAUGACCCUUUAUUUACACUGAAACUAGCAGUAGCAUUUAACUUUAGCUCUACAUGGCUACUGAUUCUCUUGAAAUCUGCAGGAAAAUCGAACCUCUGAACUCUUAAGACUCCAGCAGAUCUGUCAGAAAUGCCUGAGGAAUUCAAAAAUCAUAAAAUGAAUGAAGAGAGAAGGGGAAGUGGAACAACCUCACACACUUCUCUGUUCUCAGAAAUCAGGUUAACAGCAGUGCAGGAACACUUGUAGGGAAACACUGCACAUCAGGGAGGAAAAGAUUCAAAUCAUAGAAUCAUAGAGUUAUUUGAGUUGGAAGGGACCAUUAAAGGUCAUCUAGUCCAACCCCCUGCAAUGAACUGCUAGAUCAGGUGCCCAGAGUCCUGUCCAGCCUGACCUUGAAUGUCUGCAGGGACAGGCAUCCACGAGCUUUCUGAGCAACCCGUGCUAGUGCCUCACCACUCUGACUGAAAAAAACCUUCUUACUUAUAUCCAGUCUAAAUCUCUCCUCUUUUAGUUUGAACCCAUUUCCCCUUGUUUUAUCACAACAGGCUCUGCUUAAGAAUCUUGUCCCCUUUUUUCUUGCAGCCUCCUUUAGAUACUGAAACGCCAUCAGGUCUCCUCAGAGCCUUCUCUUCUCCAGGCUGAACAGCCUCAGCUCUCUCAGCCUGUCCUCAUAGGAGAGCUGUUUCAUCCCUUAGAUCAUUUUUGUGGCCCUCCUCUGGACAUGGUGCAAUACGUCCAUGCCUCUAAGGUAAAUAAGGAAAAUACCUCCAGAUGCUGUAUUUCCUGAAUAUUCUUUGUUUAUUUUUGUUAUUCCUGAGAAUGAUUUAAUGAAAAAAAUAAUAAAGGAGGGUAUUUCACUAA